AAAACAGAGGCAGAGCAAGCAGGGCUGAGAAUGUUUAUUUCCAGGCCCAAGGCAGCACAGACCUGGCAGACAGCAGUACCACAGGGCAAAGAGGCUAUUGAGCUGGGAGUCCCUGGUUCCUGUGGCAAUGAGAGGAGACAGUAGGCUGGGAGAAACGGCUGCCACCAGGAUGAGCUGAGACCAUCAGGAAUGACUUCAAGGACGCUGUGAGCCUCGGGCCUACACACAGUGGAUGUGAAUGAACACACGAAGAAAGGAAGGAUUGACAAAGUGAAACAGCAAAUGAGCAAAGGAAGAGGUGGCAGCCUGGGGGUCCUGGCAGUCCUCCAGCAGAGAGGACCUCUGGCUCCCAUUCCUUGGGCUGGUGGAAAGCA